rnacentral:lncRNA from 1 species
GUCCUCCAUAAAUACACUGCUUAUAUGUGACUGAAUUUCUAAUUUGUUGAAAGUGAAAACUCUUACCCUGAAGGAUCAUUAUUACAAUUUCCCUGGAAGAAUAAAAUACCGCCAAGCAGCAUACCUCAGGGAAUAAAUAUACAUCAUACUUUCAUGAAAUUUGCACACAAUCCGGGUCAGGUGGUUAAUGAAGCCAUAAACUAUACUAUGUCUGAAGUACUAAACAUUACCUUAUUCAGUUGGCCUCGGCGGUGUUAAGAGAGCGGAAGAUGUUUAUUGCCAGAAGCUACCCUUCUCGCCUGGCGAGGCCCGUUGAUAGCCAGCUCUUUGUAAAUAAACAUAUAACCUUUGCAAAGGUAAUUUAAGGCCGUGCCUUAAAGAAGAUGGUAAGGUGCACGGGGAGGGAGAGCGAAAAUAAAAAAUCGCAUGAAUAAAGUCGAAGGCUGCAGGCUAGGGUGGUUAUUAAGUCCCAAGCUGUUUUUCCUUCACUUUUCCUCACCACCGAAAUAAAAACAAUUAUUGCUAUGAUGCUCUAAAAUUAGAACACAUUUGUCGUUUUUAAAGGCAGCCACAACUGAACUUGAGCUCAGCAGUAAAAGAGGAGGCAAAGCAAACAGUUGUGCCCGGGGCCUGCCCUCUCGGAGCUUGGCACCAGCCGGGGAGGAGAGCAUCGCCCCCUGGGGUGUGGGUUUAAGCGCAGGGGCCCUGGCGGAAGAGGCAUCGUAAAAGGGAUUUAAGAAAUCCCCAUGGCCCGGGCUACAGAGCGCAUCACCACCCCACAGAGAGCGCCCCUAAACCGCCCUGUGCGGGGAUCGGCUGCAGCCCCACCAGAAAGUUUUACGGGACACAGUUGUUUGAGGUGCUACAGAUGGGGACUUCACGUCAGCUUCGCUUUGUUCGAGAAAGGCUGGAGUUCGGCUGGACUGAAGAGCGUAAAAAUAUACAUUCAGGGCAACCAAAGAAAGCCAGAUGAAUUCAUUAACCCACGGAGAAAACCUCUGGUUCCUAAUUCUGGCCCUGAAUCCUUUUCUGACUUUGCUUUAGUCGGGGGAAGUGCUGUUUUGGUGGCUGCAGAUGCUUCUUUUUUUAUCACAGUUUUGUCCAAUACCUCUGGAACGCGUCCACGUCCGUUUUCUGGAUGA